rnacentral:rRNA from 1 species
GUGAGGAAUAUUGGUCAAUGGGCGCAAGCCUGAACCAGCCAUCCCGCGUGAAGGAAGAAGGCGCUAUGCGUUGUAAACUUCUUUUCCAGGGGGAGAAUUUUUCCGUCGUGACGGGAAUUGACGGUACUCUGGGAAUAAGCAUCGGCUAACUCCGUGCCAGCAGCCGCGGUAAUACGGAGGAUGCGAGCGUUAUCCGGAUUUAUUGGGUUUAAAGGGUGCGUAGGCGGAUAGAUAAGUCAGUGGUGAAAUUCUGCAGCUUAACUGUAGACUUGCCGUUGAUACUGUCAGUCUUGAGUAUGGUCAAGGCAGGCGGAAUGUGUAAUGUAGCGGUGAAAUGCUUAGAUAUUACACAGAACACCGAUUGCGAAGGCAGCUUGCUGGGCCAUUACUGACGCUGAUGCACGAAAGCGUGGGGAUCGAACAGGAUUAGAAACCCUAGUAGUCC